rnacentral:rRNA from 1 species
CCUACGGGAGGCAGCAGUGAGGAAUAUUGGUCAAUGGACGAGAGUCUGAACCAGCCAAGUAGCGUGAAGGAUGACUGCCCUAUGGGCUGUAAACUUCUUUUAUAUGGGAAUAAAUUGUUCUACGUGUGGGAUAUUGUAUGUACCAUAUGAAUAAGGCUCGGCUAACUCCGUGCCAGCAGCCGCGGUAAUACGGAGGAUCCGAGCGUUAUCCGGAUUGAGUGGGUUUAAAGGGAGCGUAGGUGGAUUGUUAAGUCAGUUGUGAAAGUUUGCGGCUCAACCGUGAAAUUGCAGUUGAAACUGGCAGUCUUGAGUACAGUAGAGGUGGGCGGAAUUCGUGGUGUAGCGGUGAAAUGCUUAGAUAUCACGAAGAACUCCGAUUGCGAAGGCAGCUCACUGGACUGCGACUGACACUGAGGCUCGAAAGUGUGGGUAUCAAACAGGAUUAGAUACCCUUGUAGUC